GUGCUCGCUUCAGCACACAUAUACGAAAAUUGGAACAAUAUGGAGAAGGUUAGCAUGGCCCCUCUGCAAGCAUGACAUGCAAAUUUGUGAAGUGUUCCAUAUUUAA
rfam:Pteropus alecto contig73838, whole genome shotgun sequence.